rnacentral:tRNA from 1 species
CUAUAGUUCAGUCGGUUAGAGCGUCAGAUUGUGGUUCUGAAUGUCGUGGGUUCGAGUCCCACUAG